UACAGCGGAGAGUUUGAUCCUGGCUCAGGAUGAACGCUAGCGGCAGGCCUAACACAUGCAAGUCGAGGGGCAUCGCGGUGCAGCAAUGCACUGGCGGCGA
rnacentral:rRNA from 1 species